UAGAGGGCUUCGGCCCUUGAGACCGGCGCACGGGUGCGUAACGCGUAUGCAAUCUGCCUUACACUAAGGGAUAGCCCAGAGAAAUUUGGAUUAAUACCUUAUAGUAUAUUGAUGUGGCAUCACAUUAUUAUUAAAGAUUUAUUGGUGUAAGAUGAGCAUGCGUCCCAUUAGCUAGUUGGUAUGGUAACGGCAUACCAAGGCUAUGAUGGGUAGGGGUCCUGAGAGGGAGAUCCCCCACACUGGUACUGAGACACGGACCAGACUCCUACGGGAGGCAGCAGUGAGGAAUAUUGGUCAAUGGGCGCAAGCCUGAACCAGCCAUGCCGCGUGCAGGAUGAAGCAUCUAUGGUGUGUAAACUGCUUUUGUACGGGAAGAAACAACUCUACGUGUAGAGUCUUGACGGUACCGUAAGAAUAAGGAUCGGCUAACUCCGUGCCAGCAGCCGCGGUAAUACGGAGGAUCCAAGCGUUAUCCGGAAUCAUUGGGUUUAAAGGGUCCGUAGGCGGUUUUGUAAGUCAGUGGUGAAAUCCGGCAGCUUAACUGUCGAACUGCCAUUGAUACUGCAGGACUUGAAUUACUGUGAAGUAACUAGAAUAUGUAGUGUAGCGGUGAAAUGCUUAGAUAUUACAUGGAAUACCAAUUGCGAAGGCAGGUUACUAACAUUAUAUUGACGCUGAUGGACGAAAGCGUGGUAGCGAACAGGAUUAGAUACCCUGGUAGUCCACGCCGUAAACGAUGGAUACUAGCUGUUCGGCAGCAAUGCUGAGU
rnacentral:rRNA from 1 species